UGGGGAAUAUUGCACAAUGGAGGAAACUCUGAUGCAGCGAUGCCGCGUGAGGGAAGAAGGUUCUCGGAUUGUAAACCUCUGUCUUCAGGGACGAUAAUGACGGUACCUGAGGAGGAAGCUCCGGCUAACUACGUGCCAGCAGCCGCGGUAAUACGUAGGGAGCAAGCGUUGUCCGGAAUUACUGGGUGUAAAGGGAGUGUAGGCGGGAUGGUAAGUUAGGUGUGAAAACUAUGGGCUUAACCCAUAGACUGCACUUAAAACUGCUGUUCUUGAGUGAAGUAGAGGUUGGCGGAAUUCCCGGUGUAGCG
rnacentral:rRNA from 1 species